AGAGUUUGAUCAUGGCUCAGAACGUACGCUGGCGGCACGCCUAACACAUGCAAGUCGAACGAAGUAGCAAUACUUAGUGGCAGACGGGUGAGUAACAUGUGGGUAUCUGCCCUUUGGCCUGGAAUAACACGAGGAAACUUGUGCUAAUACCGGAUAAGUCUUUACGGAGAAAGCUUUAUGCACCAUUGGAUGAGCCCGCACUUGAUUAGUUUGUUGGUGGGGUAAUGGCCUACCAAGACUGUGAUCAAUAGCUGAUUUGAGAGGAUGAUCAGCCACAUUGGGACUGAGACACGGCCCAAACUCCUACGGGAGGCAGCAGUGGGGAAUCUUGCACAAUGGAGGAAACUCUGAUGCAGCGAUGCCGCGUGAGUGAAGAAGGCCCUUGGGUUGUAAAGCUCUUUCGUCGGGGAAGAAAAUGACUGUACCCGAAUAAGAAGGUCCGGCUAACUUCGUGCCAGCAGCCGCGGUAAUACGAAGGGACCUAGCGUAGUUCGGAAUUACUGGGCUUAAAGAGUUCGUAGGUGGUUGAAAAAGUUAGUGGUGAAAUCCCAGAGCUUAACUCUGGAACUGCCAUUAAAACUUUUCAGCUAGAGUAUGAUAGAGGAAAGCAGAAUUUCUAGUGUAGAGGUGAAAUUCGUAGAUAUUAGAAAGAAUACCAAUUGCGAAGGCAGCUUUCUGGAUCAUUACUGACACUGAGGAACGAAAGCAUGGGUAGCGAAGAGGAUUAGAUACCCUCGUAGUCCAUGCCGUAAACGAUGUGUGUUAGACGUUGGAAAUUUAUUUUCAGUGUCGCAGGGAAACCGAUAAACACACCGCCUGGGGAGUACGACCGCAAGGUUAAAACUCAAAUGAAUUGACGGGGACCCGCACAAGUAGUGGAGCAUGUGGUUUAAUUCGAAGAUACGCGCAGAACCUUACCAACACUUGACAUGUUCGUCGCGACUCUAAGAGAUUAGAGUUUUCGGUUCGGCCGGACGAAACACAGGUGCUGCAUGGCUGUCGUCAGCUCGUGUCGUGAGAUGUUGGGUUAAGUCCCGCAACGAGCGCAACCCUCACUUUUAGUUGCCAUCAUUAAGUUGGGCACUCUGAAAGAACUGCCAGUGAUAAGCUGGAGGAAGGUGGGGAUGACGUCAAGUCCUCAUGGCCCUUACGUGUUGGGCUACACACGUGCUACAAUGGUAUCUACAACAGGAAGCAAGACUGCGAAGUUAAGCAAAUCCCUAAAAGAUACCUCAGUUCGGAUUGCACUCUGCAACUCGAGUGCAUGAAGCUGGAAUUACUAGUAAUCGUGGAUCAGCGUGCCACGGUGAAUGCGUUCCCGGGUCUUGUACACACCGCCCGUCACACCAUGGGAGUUGGUUCUACCUUAAGGCAAGGUUUCAAACCCUUGACCACGGUAUAGUCAGCGACUGGGGUGAAGUCGUAACAAGGUAGCCGUAGGGGAACCUGCGGCUG
rnacentral:rRNA from 1 species